rnacentral:lncRNA from 1 species
AGCUAAGCAAUUGACGUUGUUGAAAAAUGGGUGAAGUGAGAGGAAUUGCUUCACUUUGCAGAAGGAGCCAUGACUGAGUUAAAAGUCAAUGCUUACAUUCGGAGGUACUUAUAAAUAUCCAAUUUUCUUCUACUUUUUCUGCAUCGCAUACCCUUGAGCUAUGUGACAGAUUUGUCUAAUUUUAAUUUAGGGACAUUAUCAUGUUGUGGAUCCAUAAGUUAAUUGAAAUAUUUGUUAUAUUACUCAUUUCCUCGAAUGGAAGCUUUUUUCCUCUCAAAAUGAAUUUACCUUAGGUUUAACAUAAUGAGGUCAUUCCAAGUACAACCUUACCAUUUUUCUCAGAAUUAUGUUGCAUUUUGUGACAUUGAUACGUUUAACAAUUAACUUUUUGAUAUCCAAGAUGACUUUAUUCAGUGAAUGUUGAUAUUCGCAAAUGAUGAGUGUAUUAUAUUUUUUCAUGAGUUUUAGGAAGCCAUUUUUGACAUCAAACUUACAAAUAAAAUAUCAUUUUACUCCAUGUAAUUAAAGGGGUUAUUAUGUUAUAGAAUUCUUUUAAGUAGAUCAUAUAUUUCUACGAGUUUUGUAAAUGGUAUUAAAUGGAAUCAAUAUAUAUUUCUUGCUCAUGGAAUUUAUGAUUCUUGUUAUUAGAUGAAUGUCUAUUCUAUGUGUUGAGAAAUAUUACUACUUGAUUUUCUCUACAAAGUAUUUGACUAACAAAUGCAAGGAUGUGUUCCAAAUAUAAAGGCAUCACCCUCCCCACUAAUACCAAUUGAUAGGUCUAUAAGUUUUGUACUUGUCAGGGGACAAAAACAAUAAGUUAUGUGAUUAUGCCCAAAGUAUAACGCGGUGAUUGUAGUACAGCUUUGGGGUGUCGUAUCCACAGGGAGAUGGAAAUUUUCUCAAAAAAAUCAAACAAACUAGGGUUUUCGUAAUUUUAUGUGGGAAUGAUUUGUUACUUGGAAUAAAAAUUAAUUAUCAAUAUGCGACAUAAGUGAAGCGUCGGAAUUCCCCCAAUGGAUUGGAUCAAUCAACAUCAAUAAUUCUUGUAUUUUUUCUCAAUUAGAGAUUUUCUUCCCAACUCUCUAAUCGGAAGAUUUAACAAUAAAGUCCAAUUUAAUUCCAAUUAUAUUGCUAGAAUCUAGAUUUUCUAUAACACAUUCGCACGUUUUUUUAUUGGAACAAGAUCAAAGAUCGACCAUAUACAUCAACCAUAAGGCAGUAAUCAAUUCGCCAAUAAAGUAAUAUUAAGAUUAAAAUUCAACAAUUAUUUUAAUUAUUCGAUAGAAGGAACAUGACUAGAUCUGUGAAGGAUUUGAUAAAAGUUAAAAUAAUCUCAACAAUAAAUAAUUCAAAUUGUAAUUCAACAAGUAUUUCGAAUAUUCGAUAGAGAAAGCAUGACCGAAUCUAUGGAAAUUCUAAUAAUUGCUAAACUAAUGUCAAAAAUAUAUUCAAGAUAUGGAAAUUCGAUUCUAAAAUUGUUUAAUAAUGAAAAACUCAAUUACAUGAAUUAAAGAUGUUGAAAUCACCAAAACCGAUUGAGAUCCUUCGUUGCUUCACCAAGUUCCUUAAUUUUCUAUGGAGUUUCUUGAGCACCAAGAUGAAAGAAAUAGGUCUGGGGGCGUCUACCUUCGUUCUGGGUGGUUUUGGGCAUUUAUAUCCCGUGAAAAUUAGGUUACCAUAAGAGAUUCAAUCGUAUAAGGAAACUGAGAUUCGCCGCCCAAAAAAUACUAUGCGACCGCAUGGUUAUUGUCAUUGCGGUCGCAUGGUUAUGCACUUUCAUCCUCUCCAAUUCUCGGUAUAGGUGUGUGCGACCGCAUAGUAGAAAGGCAUGCGACCGCAUGGUUCCGCCAGACAGCUUUCAGUGUUUUAGUCAUAACUUUCUUUCCCGAUGUCCAAUUGAGGUGAUUCAAGUUGCAUUGGAUAGCUAAUGUGAGCAAAUUAGAGGUGGGUCUCAUGCAAUGUUUUUAUCAUGAAAAGCUUUCAUUUUUUCCUUGUAGAUUCUAGAACUCUCAUAGGCCUCAUUUCUCAACUCCUCUAACUCAGCGAAUUGAAAUUUCCUAAGCUUACCUCCCUCCUCUAGGUCGAAAUUAAAAUGUUUAAUAGCCCAAUAUGCUCGGUGUUCAAGCUCCACAAGUAAAUGGCAAGGCUUUCCAAAAAUAAGUCUAUAUGGUGACAUGCCGAGGGAAGUCUUAAAAGCAGUACGGUAAGUCCAAAGUGCAUCACUUAAUCUUAAAGACCAAUCUUUACGAUUAGAAUUCACCAUUUUUUCCAAAAUUUGUUUAAUUUCCCUAUUAGCCAAUUCUACCUGUCCAUUAGUUUGGGGGUGGUAAGUAGUAGAGAUUUUAUGAAUAACUCCAUAUUUUUUCAUUAGUGCUUCGAAUGAACGGUUGCAAAAGUGUGUGCCUCUGCCCCUAAUAAUGACACGUGGUGUACCAAACCUAGAUAAGACAUUUUCUUUGAGGAAUUUAAUAACCAUUUUAUUGUCAUUAGUUCUACAAGCGAACGCCUCUACCCAUUUAGACACAUAAUCCACCGCCACAAUAAUGUAUAGAUAACCAAAAGAAGGUGGAAAGGGGCCCAUAAAGUCAAUCCCCCAACAAUCAAACACUUCUAUCACUAAAAUGGAGUUUAAAGGCAUCAUAUUACGUCGAGACACGGCACCUAAUUUUUGACAUCUUUCACAGGUUCUACAAUAGGUAUUAGUGUCUUUGAAUAAGGUAGGCCAAUAAAAACCACAUUGUAGAAUUUUUGCAGCAGUCUUUUUUAUAGAGAAGUGGCCACCACAUGCUUAAGUAUGACAGAAACUAAGUAUGCUAAGUAUUUCUUCAUUGGGGACACAACGUCUUAAGAUUUGGUCGGGGCAGUACUUAAACAAACAUGAGUCAUCCCAAUAAAAAUUAUGUACCUAAACCAAAAACUUCCUCUUAUCCUUUGUACUCCCUCCUUUGGGAUUUCACCUGCAGCCAAGUAGUUCACAAUGUGAGCAAACCAUGGUAAAGAAGAGACAGAAAAUAAAUUUUCAUCCGGGAAUUCAUCUCUUAUUGGCAAGGUGUUUGUAGUGUCUUCAAAGGUUAGCCUUGAUAAGUGGUCUGCUACGACAUUCUCCACUCCUUUCUUGUCCUUGAUGGUGAUGUCAAAUUCCUGCAAAAGCAAUAUCCACCGUAUUAAUCGCGCCUUAGUAUCCUUCUUUGCAAGAAGGUGCUUAAAGGCUACAUGAUCUGUGAAAAUUGUAAUGGGAGAACCUAUUAAAUAGGAUCUAAACUUGUCAAGUGCAAAGAUCACAGCUAGUAGCUCUUUUCAGUUGUGGAAUAGUUCAUCUGAGCACUGUUAAGAGUUCUACUAGCGUAGUAAAUGACAAAAGGCUUACCCUCUCUUCGUUGUCCCAGUACAGUACCUACCGCAUAAUCAUUAGCAUCGCACAUAAUUUCAAACGGUAGGGACCAAUCAGGUGGUUGCAUGAUUAGUGCAGAAGUGAGCUUGUUAAUCAGUGUUUUAAAUGCCUCUUGGCAUUCUGGGGUCCAUUCAAAAUUGGCUUCUUUACUUAGAAGGUUACACAAGGGUCUGGAUAUGGAUGAAAAGUUCUGUAUAAACCUCCUAUAAAAACCUACGUGACCUAGAAAUGAUCUUAUGUCUUUGACGGUUUUAUGUAUAGGCAAUUUGGAGAUCAGUUCAAUUUUUGAUUUGUCGACCUCUAUUCCUUUAGAAGAAAUUACAUGUCCUAAGACAAUUCCUGAAGGUACCAUAAAAUGACAUUUCUCCCAAUUCAAAACUAAUCAUUUUUCCACACACCGGGCCAAGACUCUCUUCAAGUUAAAUAGGCAUGUAUCAAACGAGACUCCAAACACUGUCAAGUCAUCCAUGAAAACUUCCAUGCACUCCUCUAUCAUGUCAGUAAAUAUGCUUAUCAUGCAUCUUUGGAAUGUGGCAGGGGCGUUACAAGGUCCAAAUGGCAUCCUACGAAAUGCAUAAAUACCAAAUGGGCAAGUAAAUGUGGUCUUUUCUUGGUCUUCUAAAGCUAUUUCAAUUUGAUAAUAAAUGAUUGAUAAAUGAAGUAACAUGCAAAUAACAAAGUUAAUCAAACUGAACACAUUUUUAACUUUGCAAAAUAACUUGCUUGAGAUUGGCUUAGAGAUAAACAAGUCAAUCUUAUGUUGUACUAAAGGCUCAGUGGGCUGACACGAACUUGGAUCAAUUCAUGUGUGCUUCUAUACAUGUCGGACUAGAUGUUUUGUUUAUUUAUGUUUCAAUUUUGUUGAAAAUUAUCUCUUUAAUGGUGGGUUUUUUGAUAAUUAAUUAUGGUUUAUGUUUUCCCCAUUUGUCCUUUUUCUUGUUGGUAAUAUAUUCAUAUUUUCUUUGUUACCAAGGUUGAGUCGGUGUUGGACAAGGAAAAUUUUACAUUGGAAGAGCUUUUGGAUGAAGAAGAGAUAAUCCAAGAAUGCAAAUCAUUAAAUAGUUGCCUUAUCAAUUUGAAUGGCACCUUUACUUUUUAGCUGCAUAUUUCUAUUUAUUAUUAUUGUCAUCUAUGUUAGUUUUUAAUGAGUAAUGGUUCCUUGGCAAUCACACCCUUACCACGACCUGCUCUUUGAACAGUUGUUGCACUAUAUCGAGAGUCUCCGAUGAUGCGGAUAGCAAACGAAUGUUCAGAUGCCAUAUAGUUUUAGCUUUCAAACCAAAUUUAUUUUUCCCCAAAACUAGUCUUAUAAACAUGAAGUAUUAACCCGAUUUGCUUGUUUGUUGAUUAGUUACUGCAAAAAGUCAAGAAAUUAUAAUCUAUGUCAAGGAGGAAGUAUGCACAUUGGGUUUAACCAAAAAAGAAGUUGGAACUGCUACAUAUUCUUUGAUUUCCAAUAGCAAUCUCGAAACUCUCAACCCGUGAUCUUCUGUUGACUCUGCCAUGAGGCUAAGUAAUCGUUUUGAAACUGUGUUUGAUAUUUGGGUCUUCGGGGUUUCAAGUCAACUAUUAAGAAAAUUGUCGGAGUUUGGUUUGGUUCAGUUGCAAGGCUUCGAUGACUUUAUUUUCUCUAUUUUUCUCCUCAAUUAUUGUUUAGGAAAUAAAAAUUAUUUGCCUUCAUUGAGCCAAAUAAAUGUUUUGGAACAGUUCAAUUAGUCUUUUUAUUUCAAACGGUUAACUACAAAAUUAUAUAACUUCACUUCCUAUUGUCAAAUUUCAAUGAAAAAAUAAAUAAAUUUGCGGAGCUAUGUAAUUGGCCCUUGUUUGAGCCAUAUUAUUUUCUUUAGAAUGAAUUUUUGAAUAGCAUAUUGAUAGAAAAUGUAUGGUUAAAAAAUAAAGAAAAUUUUUGGAUUUGUGUAUAAUAUUAUUUUAUUGAAGAAUGUCUAGUUGAAAUGAUGUCAAAUUACAAUUUAAGAAUGUAUAUUUUUGACAAAACGUGGCUCAAACAUGCCCUUAGUCUUGUUCCUAAUGUAUUACAUAUGUAAGAGGUACAAGUAAACAUGCCUUCUAGAUUGCUGAUAUUGAGAUUUCUUAACGGUUAUCUUCCCUUUUUAGUGUUUUUUUUUAUAACUCAGGUGUCUAAGUUUCGUCUGACUAAUUCUGAGGAGUGACGACCUUCCCCCUGGUUCGCCACCCAGGUAAAUUCGGAUGCGGACACAGUUAUAUACACUUGGGCCGAAUGCGGUUCUCCUCCCUGUAGAUUUCCAUUUACGAUGUGUGGACAGGAACUCCGGAGGGACGACAAAGCGCAACAUAACUUUGCCUUCACAGGACAACUGUCUUCCAACAUAAAUGUUGCCUUUCAGCCGCCAUGGGAAUUCGAACCUCCGAUACUCCAUGUGGAACCCUCUUGCUUUACCACUACGUCAUGCCCGUGGGGGCAAAGGUUGAACCCGAAACCUUAGGGCCCCCACCGUCCCACCCCUAGAGUAUCGUCAGGAAGGUAAACCGCGGGAUGUACUCCCAACAAACCAAGGAACAAGAGCUUGCCCGUACACUGGUGCCCACAAAGAGUCAAAUUCCAUAUCUCAGAAAUCGAACCAUCAACGGUUGUCAGCAAGGUUGAGACUAUCUCACUCUUUUCCUUUGAACCACCGGGUUAUGCCCCGGGGGACUUUCCCUUUUUAGUGUUACAUACAUGUAUGCUGAGUCUAUGUACAUCAACGUUAACAUCUUGUGCUUUCUUUAUUUGUUUUUCCCACAUAAUUUCAAUUGUCAAAGAAGCUUUGGUAGAACAAGACAUGCUUCAUCGACAGCCUAAAUGGAAGAAAAGGUUUGGAACUAGGCUUCCAACCUUGACUGUAAUGUAAU